GACGAACGCGGCGGCGUGCCUAAUACAUGCAAGUAGAACGCUGAAGAGAGGAGCUUGCUCUUCUGGAUGAGUUGCGAACGGGUGAGUAACGCGUAGGUAACCUGCCUGGUAGCGGGGGAUAACUAUUGGAAACGAUAGCUAAUACCGCAUAAUAGUAGAUGUUGCAUGACAUUUGCUUAAAAGGUGCAAUUGCAUCACUACCAGAUGGACCUGCGUUGUAUUAGCUAGUUGGUGAGGUAACGGCUCACCAAGGCAACGAUACAUAGCCGACCUGAGAGGGUGAUCGGCCACACUGGGACUGAGACACGGCCCAGACUCCUACGGGAGGCAGCAGUAGGGAAUCUUCGGCAAUGGACGGAAGUCUGACCGAGCAACGCCGCGUGAGUGAAGAAGGUUUUCGGAUCGUAAAGCUCUGUUGUAAGAGAAGAACGAGUGUGAGAGUGGAAAGUUCACACUGUGACGGUAUCUUACCAGAAAGGGACGGCUAACUACGUGCCAGCAGCCGCGGUAAUACGUAGGUCCCGAGCGUUGUCCGGAUUUAUUGGGCGUAAAGCGAGCGCAGGCGGUUAGAUAAGUCUGAAGUUAAAGGCUGUGGCUUAACCAUAGUACGCUUUGGAAACUGUUUAACUUGAGUGCAAGAGGGGAGAGUGGAAUUCCAUGUGUAGCGGUGAAAUGCGUAGAUAUAUGGAGGAACACCGGUGGCGAAAGCGGCUCUCUGGCUUGUAACUGACGCUGAGGCUCGAAAGCGUGGGGAGCAAACAGG
rnacentral:rRNA from 1 species